rnacentral:rRNA from 1 species
GAUGAACGCUGGCGGCGUGCCUAAUACAUGCAAGUCGAGCGAACAGACGAGGAGCUCGCUCCUCUGACGUUAGCGGCGGACGGGCGAGUAACACGUGGAUAACCUACUUAUAAGACUGGGAUAAUUUCGGGAAACCAGAGCUAAUACUGCAUCAUAUAUUGAACCGCAUGGUUCAAUAGUGAAUGAGGCUUUUGCCGUUACAUUUAGAUGGAUUCGGGCUGCAUUAGCUAGUUGGUAAGGUAACGGCUUACCAAGGCAACGAUGCGUAGCCGACCUGAGAGGGUGAUCGGCCACACUGGAACUGAGACACGGUCCAGACUCCUACGGGAGGCAGCAGUAGGGAAUCUUCCGCAAUGGGCGAAAGCCUGACGGAGCAACGCCGCGUGAGUGAUGAAGGUCUUCGGAUCGUAAAACUCUGUUAUUAGGGAAGAACAAAUGUGUAAGUAACUAUGCACGUCUUGACGGUACCUAAUCAGAAAGCCACGGCUAACUACGUG